GAUUGGCCCAUUGAAUUGUCCCACCAUGUCCCGGGCAUUUCUUCUCUCCAUCGUCCUGAUCUCCGUUGGCCCCAGCCUUCAACAACUGCAGAACCUGAAGGAUCCAGAAUUUGUUACCCCUGGGGGCACAGUCACCAUAUCUUGUCUAUACGAUGGUGGGAAUCUUGGGGAUGGCAACUACCCUUGGUGGUCCCAGCAAGUCCCUGGGAAUAAACCCCGAGCUUUGAUCUAUGCAACCAGUUCCAGACCAUUGGGGGUUCCAGCCCGUUUCUCUGGAUCCAGAUCUGGGAAUGUGAUGUCCUUGACUAUCACUGGGGCUCUGGUUGAAGACGAAGCCACCUACUAUUGUUGUGUCUGGACGGGUAGUCAGUCCCACAGUGAUUGA